AGCAGCUUCUAAUAAGCUGCUUAGAAGCUGUUUCUAGUAAGUGUCUUUGCUUUGCAUUUCACAUCCCCAAAGAAUUACACGCUAGCUUCUUCCUCUUUUUCUUAAAGGUUCUCAAGCUGGCCAUAUGUAUAGCUGUAGCUUGCCAUUCUGGAGUUAGCAGUCAACUAAGAUUUCAAUAUCGGGUGUUGUCCACCGGCCUGCCAGUAUGUCAUAAUCUCUUUCUCCAAAGUGGACUAGCUUGGUCAGUGGGUCAUACAAGCCUCCGUGGAAUCCGAUUACCAGCUGGAAGUCAAGCACUUGAUGCAUACAUUACAAAGAGGUGAAGAAAGACGGCUAAAUAACAUUCAGAAAAGAACAAGAAAACAGAUAUCCUGACCAAAGAAAUGACUGGAGGAUUUCUGCAUUUUUCAAGGCUGCAUGUUCAAAAAUCACGCAUCAUGGAUGUUGGUACUUACACCCUGAGUCAGCACACCAGACGUGAACAAUUCACCUAAACAGGCCCUUCUUGACAGCUAUAACUCAUCUGCAAAACAACAGGCAGACUCUAACCGAAAAUCCCUGCAGGAAACGUGUCUUGGAAAAGGAGCUCAAAGAAAUGAAUCAACACCUUCCCUUGUGAUAGCUUGCUCACUUCCGCACAGAGAAGUUUUUGAUGCUCAUUUUCCACUUCAUUGCACAACCAGACAAACACGCGCGAGUCCAGCGCGGGUGCUGCAGUCAG